GGGAGUAUAGCUCAUUGAUAGAGUGUGUGCUUGAGGUGCAUGAGGUCCUAGGUUCAACCCCAGUGCCUCUG
rnacentral:tRNA from 1 species